UACAGAGGUGGCAAGCGUUGUUCGGAAUUACUGGGCGUAAAGGGCGCGUAGGCGGCCAUUUAAGUCAGACGUGAAAUCCCCCGGCUUAACCUGGGAACUGCGUCUGAUACUGGAUGGCUUGAGUUCGGGAGAGGGAUGUGGAAUUCCAGGUGUAGCGGUGAAAUGCGUAGAUAUCUGGAGGAACACCGGUGGCGAAGGCGGCAUCCUGGACCGAAACUGACGCUGAGGCGCGAAAGCUAGGGGAGCAAAC
rnacentral:rRNA from 1 species